GACGAACGCUGGCGGCGUGCUUAACACAUGCAAGUCGAACGGAAAGGCCCUGCUUUUGUGGGGUGCUCGAGUGGCGAACGGGUGAGUAACACGUGAGUAACCUGCCCUUGUCUUUGGGAUAACUUCUGGAAACUGGGGCUAAUACCGGAUAGGAGCUCCUGCUGCAUGGUGGGGGUUGGAAAGUUUCGGCGGUUGGGGAUGGACUCGCGGCUUAUCAGCUUGUUGGUGGGGUAGUGGCUUACCAAGGCUUUGACGGGUAGCCGGCCUGAGAGGGUGACCGGCCACAUUGGGACUGAGAUACGGCCCAGACUCCUACGGGAGGCAGCAGUGGGGAAUAUUGCACAAUGGGCGGAAGCCUGAUGCAGAAACGCAGCGUGCGGGAUGACGGCCUUCGGGUUGUAAACCGCUUUCGCAUGUGACGAAGCGUGAGUGACGGUAAUGGGUAAAGAAGCACCGGCUAACUACGUG
rnacentral:rRNA from 1 species